CCUACGGGUGGCUGCAGUGGGGAAUAUUGCGCAAUGGGCGAAAGCCUGACGCAGCGACGCCGCGUGAGGGAUGAAGGUCUUCGGAUCGUAAACCUCUGUCAGCAGGGAAGAACGGUCACUGUGCUAAUCAGCAGUGAAUUGACGGUACCUGCAAAGGAAGCACCGGCUAACUCCGUGCCCGCAGCUGCGGUAAUACGGAGGGUGCGAGUGUUAAUCGGAAUUACUGGGCGUAAAGGGUCCGUAGGCGGUAUGUCAAGUCAAGGGUGAAAUCCCCGCGCUCAACGUGGGAACUGCCUUUGAAACUGGCAAACUGGAGUAUGCGAAGGGAUAGUGGAAUUCGAGGUGUAGGAGUGAAAUGCGUAGAUAUCUGGAGGAACAUCAGUGGCGAAGGCGACUAUCUGGCACAUAACUGACGCUGAGGAGCGAAAGCGUGGGUAGCAAACAGGAUUAGAUACCCUGGUAGUC
rnacentral:rRNA from 1 species